rnacentral:misc_RNA from 1 species
AAAAAUCAUUUAAAUGGGAAUGGGAAGUCACGGAAGAUAUUAAAUAUAUUAUCGAUCAAGUUUUAGACAUUUUCUCCAGCAAUCAGUACAAUUAGAUUGACCAAUAACUUGUGUAUUUUGCAUGAGACAGUCACUCAACACCUAUUCAUAGGAUAAUCAAUUUAAAACAAAAUAUUGUAUAAGCUACAAGAAAAAAAAAAGGAA